rnacentral:rRNA from 1 species
AUACGAAGGGGGCUAGCGUUGUUCGGAAUCACUGGGCGUAAAGCGCGCGUAGGUGGAUCAAUCAGUUGAGGGUGAAAUCCCGGGGCUCAACCUCGGAACUGCCUUCAAUACUGUUGAUCUUGAGUCCGAGAGAGGUGAGUGGAAUUCCUAGUGUAGAGGUGAAAUUCGUAGAUAUUAGGAAGAACACCAGUGGCGAAGGCGGCUCACUGGCUCGGUACUGACGCUGAGGUGCGAAAGCGUGGGGAGCAAACAGGAUUAGAAACCCUAGUAGUCC